GUGCAGCAGUCGCGAAAACUUCACACUGUGCGAAAGCACGAUGAGGGAAUCCCAAGUGCUUGCACGUAAGUGUAAGCUGUUUCUCUGUUUAAAACGCAGAGAGAGUAAGGGCUGGGUAAGACGGGUGCCAGCCGCCGCGGUAAUACCUGCAGCUCAAGUGGAGACCGUUAUUAUUGGGCCUAAAACGUCCGUAGCCGGUUUAAUAAAUGCCUGGGUAAAUCGUGUAGCUUAACUAUACGAAUUCCGGGUAGACUGUUAAACUCGAGACCGGGAGAAGUUAGAGGUACUCCUGGGGUAGAGGUGAAAUUCUGUAAUCCUAGGGGGACCACCAGUGGCGAAGGCGUCUAACUAGAACGGGUCUGACGGUGAGGGACGAAGCCCUGGGGCGCAAACGGGAUUAGAUACCCGUGUAGU
rnacentral:rRNA from 1 species